rnacentral:rRNA from 1 species
GUGGGGAAUAUUGGGCAAUGGGCGAAAGCCUGACCCAGCAACGCCGCGUGAGGGAAGAAGGUUUUCGGAUUGUAAACCUCUGUCCUUGGGGACGAAGAAAGUGACGGUACCCAGGGAGGAAGCCCCGGCUAACCACGUGCCAGCAGCCGCGGUAAUACGUAGGGGGCGAGCGUUGUUCGGAAUGACUGGGCGUAAAGGGCGCGUAGGCGGCCGAUUAAGUCUGGAGUGAAAGUCCUGUUUUUAAGGCGGGAAUUGCUUUGGAGACUGGUUGGCUUGAGUGCGGAAGAGGUAAGUGGAAUUCCCAGUGUAGCGGUGAAAUGCGUAGAGAUUGGGAGGAACACCAGUGGCGAAGGCGACUUACUGGGCCGUAACUGACGCUGAAGCGCGAAAGCGUGGGGAGCGAACAGGAUUAGAAACCCUGGUAGUCC